GCUGAGUUCUCUCUUAUUUCUCUUCCAUUUCACAUAAGGGUAGGAGCUUCUGGGAGUGGGAGUAAAAGUCUAAGAAAAAUAAGUGUGGGGAUAUUGGGUGGCAGGAUCUGCUAUUUUCUUAACAGUGGCUAGCUUCUUCAGUUUUACUCGUUAUUUCCUUUGGCUCCUUUGGACAGUUAACAGAGAAUAUUAAAUGAAAAUCUCAGGACAGUCUUUAAAAAGUUUAAAUGGGUGAAUUCUAAAAUAUAGAUAUAGGAAAAUAUUCUACUAUCCAAUUCGUCGAGUUGGUCUGCAUUUUAUUUCAAAUUAAAUAUGUCCCUCAUUUUCGGUACUGGCCUUUACUAACAACCUACCGAUCUAUCAUUAAGCAGUUUUUAUCUCAAUAGUCUUCAUGUUUUUUGGUCAGGGACUGUGAGAUUUAACCUUGAUCCAUUCAAUGAGCACAAUGAUGCGGACCUUUGGGAAUCUCUAGGACGGGCACACCUAAAGGAAGUUAUCAGGAGGAACUCUUUGGGUCUUGAUGCCAAGGUCUCGGAAACCGGAGAAAAUUUCAGUGUUGGACAAAGACAACUUUUAAGUCUUGCUCAAGCAUUGCUUCGCCGGUCAAAGAUUCUUGUUCUUGAUGAGGCAACUGCUGCUGUUGAUGUUAGAACUGAUGAUCUUAUUAAGAAGACCAUACGCGAAGAAUUUAAGUCAUGCACCAUGCUGAUCAUUGCUCACCGUUUGAACUCUUAUCAUUGACUGUGACAGAAUUCUUCUGCUUGAUUCUGGUCAGGUACUUGAAUGUGAUAGUCCAGAAGUAUUAUUACAAAAUGAGGGAAGUGCUUUUUCUAGGAUGGUUCAGAGUACAGGAGCUGCAAAUGCUCAAUACUUACAAGCUUAGUCUUUGGAGGGGAAGAGUGAAUCAGUAUAGCGAGGGACAAACAACUAGAUGGGCCACGGAGGUGGCUUGCCUCUUCAUGUUGGCCUGCUGCAACACAGUUUGCACUAGCUGUUACGCUUACUUCAUCCCGAAAUGAUCUUGUGCAGUUAGAAAUUGAGGAUGAGUAUAAUAUCCUGAAGAAAACAAAGAAUGCGGUAAUCACUCUGCAGGGAGUAUUAGAGGGUAAGCACGACAAAGACAUCCAAGAGACCCUGGACCAGUACCAGGUUUCCAGAGACAGAAGGUGGUCUUCAUUUUACAAGAUGGUUGAAGGUCUCGCAAUGAUGAGUAAGAUGGCACCCGAUAGACCCCAUCAAGCGGAUUCUGAGUUUGAAGAUAAAGCAAUCAACUGGGAUCGUGCUGAGAUGUAGAAGUCUUCCAGUCUAGCAGAUCAUAGAAUGGGAGGUUUUACUUGUUUUCAUGAUUCAUGGAUAUUGUAUUGCCCUCUUAACCCCAGUUGUAACAUUGAUUGUUUUUCCCAUGAAAUUUUUUAGCUGUGCCUCUUCUAAAGAUGAGGAGGAUUAGAUUAUGAUUUUAAAAAUUUGAGAAAUGUGAUUGUGAAUGCAAAAUGGUCUAAGAGUGGCUUUUUGUUAUAAGAGAUUUCCUGGUUCUGUUUUUAGAUCCUAUC